rnacentral:rRNA from 1 species
UACAGAGGGGGCAAGCGUUGUUCGGAAUUACUGGGCGUAAAGGGCGCGUAGGCGGCCUUCUAAGUCGAACGUGAAAUCCCCGGGCUCAACCCGGGAACUGCGUCCGAUACUGGAAGGCUUGAAUCCGGGAGAGGGAUGUGGAAUUCCAGGUGUAGCGGUGAAAUGCGUAGAUAUCAAGCAGAACACCUGCGGCGAAGGCGGCCUUCUGGACGAUGACUGACGCUGAGACGCGAAAGCGUGGGGAGCAAACAGG